GUAGGUGGCAAGCGUUGUCCGGAAUUAUUGGGCGUAAAGCGCGCGCAGGCGGUUCUUUAAGUCUGAUGUGAAAGCCCACGGCUCAACCGUGGAGGGUCAUUGGAAACUGGAGAACUUGAGUACAGAAGAGGAAAGCGGAAUUCCACGUGUAGCGGUGAAAUGCGUAGAGAUGUGGAGGAACACCAGUGGCGAAGGCGGCUUUCUGGUCUGUAACUGACGCUGAGGCGCGAAAGCGUGGGGGGAGCAAACAGGAUUAGAUACCCUGGUAGUCCACGCCGUAAACGAUGAGUGCUAAGUGUUAGGGGGUUUUCCGCCCCUUAGUGCUGCAGCUAACGCAUUAAGCACUCCGCCUGGGAGUACGGCCGCAAGGCUG
rnacentral:rRNA from 1 species